UGGGGAAUAUUGCACAAUGGGCGCAAGCCUGAUGCAGCCAUGCCGCGUGUAUGAAGAAGGCCUUCGGGUUGUAAAGUACUUUCAGCGAGGAGGAAGGCGGUAAGGUUAAUAACCUUAUCGAUUGACGUUACUCGCAGAAGAAGCACCGGCUAACUCCGUGCCAGCAGCCGCGGUAAUACGGAGGGUGCAAGCGUUAAUCGGAAUUACUGGGCGUAAAGCGCACGCAGGCGGUCUGUCAAGUCGGAUGUGAAAUCCCCGGGCUCAACCUGGGAACUGCAUUCGAAACUGGCAGGCUAGAGUCUUGUAGAGGGGGGUAGAAUUCCAGGUGUAGCGGUGAAAUGCGUAGAGAACUGGAGGAAUACCGGUGGCGAAGGCGGCCCCCUGGACAAAGACUGACGCUCAGGUGCGAAAGCGUGGGGAGCAAACA
rnacentral:rRNA from 1 species